UACGAAGGGGGCAAGCGUUGUUCGGAUUUACUGGGCGUAAAGGGAGUGUAGGCGGUUCUCCAAGUCAGACGUGAAAGCCCGGGGCUCAACCCCGGAAUUGCGUUUGAGACUGUGGAACUUGAGUGUCUGAGGGGUAAGCGGAAUUUCCAGUGUAGAGGUGAAAUUCGUAGAUAUUGGAAGGAACACCGGUGGCGUAGGCGGCUUACUGGCAGACAACUGACGCUGAGGCUCGAAAGCGUGGGGAGCGAACAGGAUUAGAUACCCUGGUAGUCCACGCCCUAAACGAUGUAUGCUCGCUGUUGGACGGUUUACCGUUCAGUGGCUAAACUAACGCGAUAAGCAUACCGCCUGGGGAAUACGGUCGCAAGAUUAAA
rnacentral:rRNA from 1 species